rnacentral:rRNA from 1 species
CGGCGGACGGGUGAGUAAUGCCUAGGAAUCUGCCUGGUAGUGGGGGACAACGUUUCGAAAGGAACGCUAAUACCGCAUACGACCUACGGGUGAAAGCAGGGGAUCUUCGGACCUUGCGCGAUUGAAUGAGCCGAUGUCGGAUUAGCUAGUUGGCGGGGUAAAGGCCCACCAAGGCGACGAUCCGUAGCUGGUCUGAGAGGAUGAUCAGUCACACUGGAACUGAGACACGGUCCAGACUCCUACGGGAGGCAGCAGCC